GAUGCUAGUGUAGUAAAAACCAAAAAAAUAUUGAAAAGAAAUCCUGAUAUACGAUUGAACGAAGAAAUAAUUUCCAAGUCGACUAACACACUUCUGUAAUAAGCAAAAGAAAAAUUGUUAUCCGUAUGUAUUUCCUCUUCAUCGAAAUCCAUCGUGAAACUUUUACUGGUCCUUUUUCAGAUUUUAUUUGGUAUAUUCACGUUAUCUAAGCACAGAUUGAUUAUAACGAACACGCCGACAACGAGAACGAUGACGUACCGGUGAAUAAUUUCUUUUAUUUCUUUAUUUAUUUUUUCGAUAAAAGAUAUUCAAGUCUCGCAGCUCCACACUGAAUUGCUGCGACCGAAAAUACAAUGAAGCUAACUAGCCCAAGGUCGGGAAUGACAUCUGCAUUAUGCGGGUAUUGCGACUUUGUCGGAACUCUAUGGUGCAUUAAUUAUCGUUUUUCCCCCGUCAAACUUUUAUUUAAGAGAUACGGAGCUUCAUUUCCCACGAUCAGAGAUGUCCCAACUUACUCCGGGCGGUAACACCUGUUUUGUCGAUUUGAAAUCAUGGAACUUCAAAUUCACCUCCCAUAACUUGCUAGCUUUUUAUUCGAUGUCAACGAUGGUGUAGUCAUUGCGAUCAUCGAUUAGAAGUUGAGUACACAUAUACAUAUUGUUUAUCAAUUUUUUUUUCCAGUCAUACGAGUUUGUCAUCGUACAUCAGAAAUAUGCUUCACUUUUAUUCUCAUAGACGAACCUGAUUUAAUUCGUCAAAAUACUAUUGAAUUUGUACUUUGCAAAAUUUAUCGCGAUUUCACUGGAGAAUUUUUCGUUGGCAGCUAGUUUUCAAGAAAGAAGAAAAAAAAAACCUCAAAUAUCACCUGGAAUGAAGAAACGUACACGAAACUAAUUGUUUUAUUGCAAUUUCAUAAUUUAUAUUAUUUCUUAAAAAGUAUGUACAGAUUUAGACAUAAGUUUGCGUAAGAUUAUAUAUCUUUCCCCUCGCGAAAUUCAUUGAAAGAGGGCAAAAAAAUUAAGCAACGAUUCAGUUGGAUCUUUACAGCAAUAUUUCUGCUGGCCAACUUGUUUAAAAUUGGUGUUAAUAUGCUGAAAAUGAAUCCAGUGUGUACUGACGCUUUUGAGAACUGCGUUUCAGUCGUGCACGUUGCGCAGUAUUGGAUUUUCCUCGAAGUUUUCUGGUUUAUACAAUAGAUUAGAGCUAUAUAUUAAUCCAGUCCUAUUUA